GAUGAACGCUGGCGGCGUGCUUAACACAUGCAAGUCGAACGAAGCACUUUAUUUGAUUUCUUCGGAAUGAAGAUUUUGUGACUGAGUGGCGGACGGGUGAUUAAGGCGUGGGUAACCAGCCUCAUACGGGGGGAUAACAGUUGGAGACGACUGCUAGUACCGCAUAAGCGCACAGGGUCGCAUGACCUGGUGUGAAAAACUCCGGUGGUAUGAGAUGGACCCGCGUCUGAUUAGCCAGUUGGUGGGGUAACGGCCUACCAAAGCGACGAUCAGUAGCCGACCUGAGAGGGUGACCGGCCACAUUGGGACUGAGACACGGCCCAAACUCCUACGGGAGGCAGCAGUGGGGAAUAUUGCACAAUGGGGGAAACCCUGAUGCAGCGACGCCGCGUGAGCGAAGAAGUAUUUCGGUAUGUAAAGCUCUAUCAGCAGGGAAGAAGAAAUGACGGUACCUGACUAAGAAGCACCGGCUAAAUACGUGCCAGCAGCCGCGGUAAUACGUAUGGUGCAAGCGUUAUCCGGAUUUACUGGGUGUAAAGGGAGCGCAGGCGGUACGGCAAGUCUGAUGUGAAAGCCCGGAGCUCAACCCCGGUACUGCAUUGGAAACUGUCGGACUAGAGUGUCGGAGGGGUAAGUGGAAUUCCUAGUGUAGCGGUGAAAUGCGUAGAUAUUAGGAGGAACACCAGUGGCGAAGGCGGCUUACUGGACGAUUACUGACGCUGAGGCUCGAAAGCGUGGGGAGCAAACAGGAUUAGGUACCCUGGUAGUCCACGCCGUAAACGA
rnacentral:rRNA from 1 species